rnacentral:rRNA from 1 species
GUACAUAAUUUUAGUAUAGUUAUUCAUUUAAUAUAUAUAAUACAGUAAAUUACAUUUAAGUCCUUCAUAAUACAGCUUUUCAAACUGUCUUUUGCUCUAACAAUUGUAACUCGCCUAAUCUUCUUGAUAGUCUGCACCUUGAUCUGUUAUAUUAGGAGUUACCCUAUUCUGAUUAUAUAUUAUAUAUAUUCUUUAUACGACGGCAUACAAAAUUUUACAAUGUAGUAGAUUUCCUUGGUGGUUAUCAAUUACUCGGUAAGUUCCCCUAAAUAUUAAAAUUACCGUCAUGCUAUUAGAGUUUUAAUCUUUAAAGAUUUUAGUACUCCGUAUUAAUAUUAUGGGUAUUGUAUAAAAGGGUAUCUAAUCCUUGUUUAUGUUCAAUAUUUAUUUAUAUAAUUAGAAUAUUAUAGUAAUAAACUAUUAUUUCACCAAAAAAAUUAUAUAUUUCUUUUUCUAUACUAUUUGUAGUUUAUUUCUAUAAAAGUAUGACCGCGACUGCUGGCACUUUUUUAGUCAUAAUAAGCUUAUUUAGUUUAAUCUUACUUUCAUAAAUAUAUAAAUUUUCUUUCCUGGUUUAACCAUAAUUGUACCAUAAGUAAUCCUAUUAAAUAUAAACUAUUCACCAU